AGUGAACGCUGGCGGUAGGCCUAACACAUGCAAGUCGAACGGCAGCACAGUAAGAGCUUGCUCUUACGGGUGGCGAGUGGCGGACGGGUGAGGAAUACAUCGGAAUCUACUUUUUCGUGGGGGAUAACGUAGGGAAACUUACGCUAAUACCGCAUACGACCUACGGGUGAAAGCAGGGGAUCUUCGGACCUUGCGCGAUUGAAUGAGCCGAUGUCGGAUUAGCUAGUUGGCGGGGUAAAGGCCCACCAAGGCGACGAUCCGUAGCGGGGCUGAGAGGAUGUACCGCCCCUUGGAAAGUGAGACACGAUCCAGACCCUGAGGGAAGGCAGCGAGGGGGAAUGUAGGCAAAAGGGGGCAAGCUUGAACAAGCCAUACCGGGUGGGUGAAGAGGCCCUGCGGGUGGAAAGGCCCUUUUGUGGGAAAAAAAAGCCAGCAGGUGAAAACCCGCUGUUCUGACGGUACCCAAAGAAUAAGCACCGGCUAACUUCGUG
rnacentral:rRNA from 1 species